ACCUGGCCAGGGAGGGGAACACAGGCAGGGGCAUGAGUCCAGUGGCCGCCUCCGAGGACCCACCCAGCCCCACCCCAGCUCCCCCUGCUCCCCACCCUGGCCAUCUCCAGGCCACAUGGGAGCAGCACAAUAAUAAUAACUAUUCACAGGUAUAAGAGCAGCCCUCUGGGCUCUGGGAGCAGGAGCCGUGGUGACCAGCAGUGCCCAGGGAAGGACACAUGGCAGGACACCUGUGGGGCAGGUGGGCAGGGCGCUCCCAGGCCAAGGGCUCAGACUUCCUCCUGGGGAUGAUGGGAAGGAGAACCGCAUGGCCAGGUUUGUGCCUUAGUGAGGUCCCCGACAGGGAGCCUGGAAGGACUUCCUUCUUUUGGCCCUUUGGACCCAGAGGCUCCGCCUCCCAUACCCCGCCUCCCUCCCCAGGCUCUUGGAGCCCAGGCCUUGGUCCCUCUCCUGUGCUGCUCUCCAGACCUGUGAAUCCUGAUCCCCUCCCCACUUCUGCACUUAGGGUCUAACAGGGCACCGAGUUCCUCCCACCCUGACAUCACAGCCCUGCCUGGGAGGCCUCCUGGACGCCUCCUCUGCCCUUCUCCCUUUCCUGGGAGCAGUCCCCUAGGCUCAACCUCUGUGCUGCCUCGGACCACCUGCCCAGUCCAGCUGCCAUCACCUGCCAGGUGAUCACAGCAGCCCUCACUCAUACCCUGCUCCUCCACCUUCCACUGCCGACCCCCCUACCCGAGCCUCCUGCAGAAGCCAGAGAGAGGUCCUUCUGGAGGGUGAUGUGGACCAGAACACUGCUUUGCUAAAGACCUCCAACAGCCUCUUGGGUUACUUGGAAUAAAAUCCACCCUCCUUCCCAGGGACCCCCAGACUCUAGAGGAGGCGGCCCUGCCCACAUGGGCAUCACCUCCCUCCACCCUCUACCCUCCUCCCCCUCACUGCACCCAGUCCCUCCUCCCUGCUGGCCUGAACUUGCCAAGCUCACUCCUGUCUUAGGGCCUUGCACUUGCUCCUUCUGCUGAAACGUUUUUCCUCCAGCUGCUGAUGUGCCCUUCCUUGUGCAGAGAGAGGCCGGGCCCAGUUUCACUUCAUUGACAGGGCAGCUGCUCUGCUCUUCCUCACAGGAGGCUUCAGCUCCACGGUUGGUUUGCUUUAGACAAACCAACAAACCAGCAGCCUCCCCUAGAGUGCAGUGCCUGUCUGCUUGCUGCCCAGCAGGUUGUGAGCGCUCACUUUAGUUAAGUCCCUGAGGGGCAACAACAGGAGCAAGGGCAGAGGGGAUGGAGUCUGGGAGCCGCUGCACGUGUGCCUCCCACACAUGCAGCAGUGAGAACCACACAGCAUAAAGAGUGGCUGGGCCAGGCUGCCACACCUGUCCUUGUCACCCCUGAGCCUUUCUUUCCAAGGAGGCGGAUCCAGGUGUCCAGCAAACACCAUUUGACCACCUAGAAAGGAAGUGUUAUCACAGGCUCAGAGCCGCUUUUGGUAAUUCCUUUCCUCCCACAGGAAGGCAUUGCCUUUUAACAACCUUCUACGAGCAAACCAUAAGGCUAUGGAAUACCAGGAACUAAGAUUCUAGGUGGCGAUUGUCAUUUCAGAAACAAGGACCAGAGUCAGCACUUACCAGCCAGCCGAGGUCCUGGAAGCUGACGUAGAGCUCGUGCCGACGGCAGACCUGCCGGCCGUGGGAGCCGUGGACAUCAUCUGUAGGGACAGAAGGAGCAAGGUCUUUUCUGGGGUUCCUGCUCUGUGCAGCUGCUGCGGGUUACCAGGGUGGAGGACCCCCUGAUGAGCACAUUUGUCAAAUGAAUGACAGGAAACCA